GAAGUCGGUGAGGUAACCUUUUAGGAGCCAGCCGCCGAAGGUGGGACAGAUGAUUGGGGUGAAGUCGUAACAAGGUAGCCGUAUCGGAAGGUGCGGCUGGAUCACCUCCUUUCUAAGGA
rnacentral:rRNA from 1 species